AAUAGAUACCCCGGGUAGUCCACGCCGUAAACGAUGGAUGCUAGCUAUUGGGGGGAAUCGACCCCCUCCGAAGCGAAGCUAACGCGUUAAGCAUCCCGCCUGAGUAGUACGAGCGCAAGCUUAAAACUCAAAGGAAUUGACAGGGACCCGCACAAGCGGUGGAGCGUGUGGUUUAAUUCGAUGGUAAACGAAGAACCUUACCAAGGUUUGACAUCCCGGUAGCCGUUCUCCGAAAGGAGAAUUUCAUUUAGUUGGACCGGUGACAGGUGAUGCAUGGCCGUCGUCAGCUCGUGUCGUGAGAUGUUGGGUUAAGUCCCGCAACGAGCGCAACCCUUAUGAUUUAGUUGGAUUUUUCUAAACAGACUGCCCUGGUAACAGGGAGGAAGGAGGGGAUGAUGGUCAGGUCAGUAUUUCCCUUACACCUUGGGCGACACACGCGCUACAAUGGCCGGUACAAUGGGCAGCUAAGCCGCGAGGUGGAGCAAAUCCCAUCAAAGCCGGUCCCAGUUCGGAUUGCAGGCUGAAACCCGCCUGCAUGAAGCCGGAAUCGCUGUAAACC
rnacentral:rRNA from 1 species